UAAUUUGUAACAAAAAUUUCUAUCUGUUAAUUGCACAAUCGGAAUUGCUCAACCCUAACUUUUGGAAGAUGUCCUGUAAUUUCCCCGCCCGUGUUGCCUUUGCUCGUUGGUCACUCAUCUCUGGCUCUCUGCUCCCCCUCAGGAUUUUAUUCUAAAGAACCUGGAUAGCAUUCUGAAGUUUGAUGUCCAUCUUACCAGAUUUCAGCUUCUUAUGGUUGAUUCCACUGCGGCUCUUUGUAAAGUUCGUGGGGCAAAAUUCCCAAAUGACAAUUCUCCUUCUCCUCGGAAACCUUAAUAUGAAGUGAUGCACCUCCUCAUUAUCAAAAAGCGAUGGGCAGCCCAGCGUCUGUUGCUCUUGGUUUGACAUGUAGAGUGAAAGUCGAAUGUGUAAAGCCACUUAACAGGUUUAAUUUGGCCAAUAAAGAGCUUCGGCUCAGUUAGCCUUCGUAGCUGAUGAUAUUGAGGAGAUGAAUGCCUAAUGGGGGAUGAUGGCUGAUUAAAGGAUGGUGCAGGAACGAUCCAUAUGAAUCCGACCCAUAAGAAUUCUUCGUAUACGAAAUGGGCGCUUCUUUGAGAUUUUUCUGAACUUUAUGCUGUCAUCAUAUCUCAUGCUCAUUCUCCUAUUUGAUCAUCGAAUCAUAUUUACGGGUUUUAAGUUUUGAUCAACAACAAUGAAGGUCUGUAUUAUGUGAGAAAUGAGGUGGAGUUGAUGCUGGCAGCUAGGGGGAAACAACAGUCACAAUAGAUGGAUUUGAAUCUGAAUGCAAGUUUCUUAUGCUUUGAACGGAAAUACUAUUGAUCUGAAAGCAAACCACUGACUCAAAUUUUUUUUUUUUUUUUUUUUUAAGUGGGUCAAUAAAUACUUUCUACCAAUUUUAGUUAAAUUAUUUUUGUAAUAAACCAAUUUAUUAUAUAAAUUUUUAAAAAAUUAAGUUAUUUUCAAACAUUUGUCCUAAAACUUAGGCAAACAGGCAGCUGGUGACCAAUUUGUCACCGUCUUGAUCUAUUUGUCUCAUCUUAAUCUCGGGCAGAUCUGAAAUUAUCAACACAUGAAG